rnacentral:rRNA from 1 species
CAGCGCCACGAGUGGCAAUCAUGUUUACUUGGCCUAAAGCGUCCGUAGCCUGUUGGAUAAAUCUUUUGUGAAAUUGUUGAGCUCAACUCAACAACGUGCAGAAGACACUAUUCUACUAGGGACCGGGAGGGGUUAGAGGUAUUCUUUGGGGAGCGGUAAAAUGCUAUAAUCCUUAGAAGACCACCUGUGGCGAAGGCGUCUAACCAGAACGGAUCCGACGGUGAGGGACGAAAGCUAGGGGAGCGAACCGGAUUAGAUACCCGAGUAGUCC